rnacentral:rRNA from 1 species
CUAAUACCCCAUAACAACGAGGGCCGCAUGACCCAUGUUUGAAAGUUACGGCGGAUACGGAUUGGCUCGCGUGACAUUAGCUGGUUGGCGGGGUAACGGCCCACCAAGGCUACGAUGUCUAGGGGUUCUGAGAGGAAGGUCCCCCACACUGGAACUGAGACACGGUCCAGACUCCUACGGGAGGCAGCAGUGAGGAAUAUUGGUCAAUGGGCGCAAGCCUGAACCAGCCAUGCCGCGUGCAGGAAUGAGGCCCUAUGGGUCGUAAACUGCUUUUGCUGCGGAGCAAUAAGUGCUACGUGUAACACGAUGAGAGUACGCAGCGAAUAAGCAUCGGCUAACUCCGUGCCAGCAGCCGCGGUAAUACGGAGGAUGCGAGCGUUAUCCGGAUUUAUUGGGUUUAAAGGGUGCGUAGGCUGUUCGUCAAGUCAGUGGUGAAAUGCCGGGGCUCAACCCCGGAGCUGCCAUUGAUACUGUCGGGCUUGAAUCSUGCUGCCGUGGGAGGAAUGAGUAGUGUAGCGGUGAAAUGCAUAGAUAUUACUCAGAACACCGAUUGCGAAGGCAUCUCACGAAACAGGCAUUGACGCUGAGGCACGAAAGCGUGGGGAUCAAACAGGAUUAGAUACCCUGGUAGUCCACGCAGUAAACGAUGAUGACUAACCGCUGGCGAUAUAGUGUCAGUGGCCAAGCGAAAGCGAUAAGUCAUCCACCUGGGGGAGUACGACCGCAAGGUUGAAACUCAAAGGAAUUGACGGGGGCCCGCACAAGCGGAGGAACAUGUGGUUUAAUUCGAUGAUACGCGAGGAACCUUACCCGGGCUCGAACGGUGCAGGAAGGAUCUAGAGAUAGUGACGCCCUUCGGGGCCUGCAUCGAGGUGCUGCAUGGUUGUCGUCAGCUCGUGUCGUGAGAUGUUGGCUCAAGUGCCAUAACGAGCGCAACCCUUGCCGCCAGUUACCAUCAAGUGAAGUUGGGGACUCUGGCGGGACUGCCACCGUAAGGUGUGAGGAAGGCGGGGAUGACGUCAAAUCAGCACGGCCCUUACGUCCGGGGCGACACACGUGUUACAAUGACGCCUACA